UCAGUGCGAGAUGAUCUCACUCUUUCACCUGGUCACAAUGUGCUGAUUAAUCUCCUUUUAAAAAGGAGAAGCGCCAGGGUGAGGGGGAGGCAUUUUUUGUAAAGCUACUAUUGAGGAUUGCUGAGUGUGCUGACAGAAUAGAGACACUGAGAAGAAACGGCACAAUUGCUGUUUUUAGAAGGAAAACGUUGGUACCUGUUCAGGACAGUGAUCAUGGUAAAGAAUGUGAAGUAGCUGAUUAUUAAAGCCACAAUAAAAGGGACUGUUCUGAUUCUGGAAGAGAGGAAUGGUGAACUACAGGCAGCACGAGUGAAGCUUGGAACUGGUUUAGAGAAAAGUAAAACAGGUUUAAAAGGCACUGCAUAUCAACAGGACACUCAGUACUGCAUCUCCAGCCCCGCCCCACCCCUCGUUCGCUGUAUUUUUCAUAGUCGUGCAUAUUGAUGAAUCAUCUCCUGAUCACUUGUUUUAUCACCAAACUCCUCAAUAAUGUGAUACAAGUCAUUAUUCUAUUAUCUGUGGUGCAGGGUCUAUGUGUAUUGCUCAGAUCUGACCCCUUUUUUCCGGAUUCUCUCGGCUCCUAUCGGUCUCACUCGGCCAUUGAAAGGUUUUCCCGGCUUUUUCCAGUGAAAAAACGACUAGAGACCUGUGCUUGAUGUCUUUUUGAUGUCGGACAAGGUCCAACAUCGGACCGGAAGGGAAUAAUUGCAAUCUCGGACCUGGUCUGACAUAGGACCGCAAAGGGUUAAACAUGUUAUUGGGAAUUACUUGGAUAAUACAAAUAUCUGUAAUGCCUAAUUUAAAAAAAAAAAAAAAAAACAUUAUCUAUUUGAAAAUCCACAUGUACAGCUAUGGCCAAAAGUUUUGCAUCACCUAUAAUUUUAGGAUUGAGAUGUAGUAGUAAUAAAAAAAAACAACAUAUGAACAUAAUUUAGGUCUUUUAUUUAACAUGUAAUCAGAGAAACUACAAAAUGACAUUGUAAAAGUCUACUGGAAGCCAUAAUAGUAGUACAGUAUUUUGUUGUCAGUUUUUUGUUAAGUAUAUACAUGGAAAACUACAAAGCGAUAUGUAAUUCAAUAUGUUAACGUAACAUUAUUCAGCAGGUUUCAUUCGCUUUUAUGAAGCAAAAUGAGUUCAUUCUAUAGGGUGAUGCAAAACUUUGGCCAUAGCUAUACAGUAAUGGAUCAUUUCUAGAGAAAAUAGCAAACUAUGAUUUUUUUAUAUUAAAAAGUCUUCAGGAAACAUGGAUGUUUUAACAUAAACCUCAAGCACUGAAUCAUCUUGUGAAAGAUACAUUAUAAUUAGGGCUUGAGUUUUUGGUUUUAACCAAUAAUAACCGAAACAACACCCCUAAAGAUCUAUUUAUAAAAUUACGUUGGCACUAUAUUAUAAAUGCUGUCAAUUAUGCACAACUCUUUCUACAUAAAGAAAACAGCUUUCAGAAGCUGGUCAGUGUGCAAAGACAUUGCUACUGACCAAUCAUCAUUUUUGUGGACCUACGUAAUAGAAUACACUUGUUAGAGUGACUUGUGACUGGAAUGGGCUGAAAAAAAACAACAACUCUACAGUGUGAUAAGUUAUCCUUUGUAUACAGCUAUGGCCAAAGGUUUUACAUCACCCUAUAGAAGAAUGAAAUGUGCUGAAUAAUGUUAUGUUAGCAUAUUGAAUUACACACUGCUUUGUAGUUUUCCAUAUACCAUAUAUGUUUUUUUUUUUUAAUUGUCGUAAUCUUAAAACUCUAGGUGAUGCAAAAAUUGUGGCCAUAGCUGUAUAUAUUGGUGAAACGUACAUGCAAUUUACAGAAUCUGAAAAUGGAUACAUUCAAGUGGUAUUUAUUUUUAAUAACCGAAAAUAACAUAUUUUGCCAGAUAAUAAUAAAAACCGAACCCGCGCCCCCCCGAAAUAAAACAAAAAAAAUAAUUAAAGCCCUAAUUAUAAUUGAUAUUGUGUGCUGUUGGAACCUAUUAAACUAAAAUGAAAUGUCAGAAUUCUUAAAUACAAAUACAAAUUAAUGUAUGUAUGCUUUAUAAAUCACCUGUGUUAUUUUAAUAUUUGGGAAAAUCUUAAGAAAUUAUGCUUCACUGUUUGUCGUCGUAAAAAGGAAAUGGAGGCUUGACAGUUUACAACUGUAUAAUUCUACUGCUCUGAAGAAAAACAGAGAAAUGAAGAUAUCAUAAGUGGUGCAAAUCAGCUUAGUCUAAAAUCAUUAGCAUUAGAUGUUCUGAUCGCCAGAAGUCUGUCUAAUCUAAACAUCUUUGCAUGGAAUGUGAUUCAGCAAUGUAUAUUUUCUUCAAAGAAUGCUAAAAAAGGACACAUAUUUCUCCUUCAAAUAAUAAGACAAAUCCUAUUAGAGAAAUGUUAAAUUAAAUAGAAGUUCAAAUGAACAGAUGCCUUUUCAAGAUCACAAAUGAUCAGUUUAAUAAUUAAAAUGAGAAGAUAUUCCAUAGUUAACAAUUUUAAAUUAAUUUUGGGAUGAGUGUCAAGGUGUCAUUCAAUUUGCUGAAACCUGUUUCUCUCAUUAGAUAAUCUGUCCAAUUCAACACAUCAUUUUCUCAGUUUUUCAGUGAGGUACUUGUCUAUCAAUAAUAGGCACUGAUGAGGGAGACUAGCUGGAUUCCAUACACUUAAAAGUCAAGCUGACAAAUGUUUCAGCAAAUGCUUUCAUCAGAGUAGGGCUGCAUCAACUGGGCGAUAAUGACUGUUCUACAAAAAAACUGCUGAGACGCUCUAUGAGGUUUAUAAUUUGAUAUUGCUGUAUCUUUUUAUGACUACCUCUUUCAUAAGGAACUUUACAGUGUACAUAGUACGGACUGCAUACAGAGUACUGCAGUACAUUUUAGAAAUAUGUUGUACAGUAUAUAAUAUGAAUGUAUGUCAUUUUAAAUGCAUAUUACCUUACCAUGUUAUAGGGGUUAUCCUAAAAACAAUAUUCAGCAUUUCAAUGAGGUUAUUCCUGUAAGAAUCUGCACUAUAAUAAAUACUAUCACAUUU